rnacentral:rRNA from 1 species
CAGGUAGGACUACCCGCUGAG